rnacentral:rRNA from 1 species
AUACUAUUGCGCGGUUACCGCGGCUGCUGGCACGGAGUUAGCCGGUGCUUCUUCUGUGAGUGAUGUCCUUCCUGCCGGUUAUUGACCCGCAGGCCUUCUUCCUCACUGAAAGUGCUUUACAACCCGAAGGCCUUCUUCACACACGCGGCAUGGCUGGAUCAGGGUUGCCCCCAUUGUCCAAUAUUCCCCACUGCUGCCUCCCGUAGGAGUCUGGGCCGUGUCUCAGUCCCAGUGUGGCUGAUCAUCCUCUCAGACCAGCUACGGAUCGUCGCCUUGGUGAGCCGUUACCUCACCAACCAGCUAAUCCGACAUAGGCUCAUCCGAUAGCGCGAGGCCCGAAGGUCCCCCGCUUUCCCCCGUAGGGCGUAUGCGGUAUUAGCCUGGGUUUCCCCAGGUUAUCCCCACUACCGGGCAGAUUCCUAUGCAUUACUCACCCGUCCGCCGCUCGCCACCAGGGAGCAAGCUCCCCGUGCUGCCGCUCGACUUGCAUGUGUUAGGCCUGCCGCCAGCGUUCAAU